rnacentral:rRNA from 1 species
CGAAGAGAACCGGAACACAGGUGCUGCAUGGCUGUCGUCAGCUCGUGUCGUGAGAUGUUGGUUAAGUCCCGCAACGAGCGCAACCCUUGUCAUUAGUUGCCAUCAUUUGGUUGGGCACUCUAAUGAGACUGCCGGUGACAAACCGGAGGAAGGGUGGGGAUGACGUCAAGUCCUCAUGGCCCUUAUGGGUAGGGCUUCACACGUCAUACAAUGGUCGGUACAGAGGGUUGCCAACCCGCGAGGGGGAGCUAAUCCCACAAAGCCGAUCGUAGUCCGGAUCGCAGUCUGCAACUCGACUGCGUGAAGUCGGAAUCGCUAGUAAUCGUGGAUCAGCAUGUCACGGUGAAUACGUUCCCGGGUCUU